UGAAGGUCAGGCUGAAGACCUUACCGGAUUAGCUGAGAGGUGGUGCAUGGCCGUCGUCAGUUCGUACUGUGAAGCAUCCUGUUAAGUCAGGCAACGAGCGAGACCCACGUCCACAGUUGCCAGCAUACCCUCCGGGGUGAUGGGUACACUGUGGAGACCGCCGCUGCUAAAGCGGAGGAAGGAAUGGGCAACGGUAGGUCAGUAUGCCCCGAAUCUCCCGGGCUACACGCGGGCUACAAUGGUUGGUACAAUGGGCAUCUACCCCGAAAGGGGAAGGAAAUCUCUUAAAGCCAAUCGUAGUUCGGAUUGAGGGCUGCAACUCGCCCUCAUGAAGCUGGAAUCCGUAGUAAUCGCGUUUCAAAAUAGCGCGGUGAAUAUGUCCCUGCUCCUU
rnacentral:rRNA from 1 species